CCUAUUACCCUGUGUCUUUUGAUUGGAGCAUUGAUUCCAUUGACGUUUAGAACACUGAUGCCUCUCAGCGUCAUUUAAUACACCAGACUGCUAUGGAACAAGAAACAGAAGGCUGCAUGCAAUUGAAACUAUCAUUUCUUUAAAGGCAUCUAAAAAAUUCAUUUCUGGUCUUACCACAAUUCAUUAUUUUUGGAAAAGAGACAAGGCAUCUUUGAUGACAGUGUUAAUAACAUUACUGUUUUAAGCAAACAUUUACCGAUGUAGUUUUAUGGAAUCCCAUAAAUGACUUAUUUAUGUUACAUAGAGUACUAAGGAAACAACUAUGGAAAAACAUUAUAAGAUCACUGAUUUUAUUGCUCUAUAAGCAAUGUAUAUUAACUUCAUGAAACUUCGAAAACACAUAUAAACCCAGAGAUUACUAGUGUAAAGUUUUUGUUGUAGUCAUUCAACACCUUUCUUUAGGAACAUAGAAAUCUUUUACAAUAAAAAUUGGAUUAUAUUGUACAUGCUGUUUUAUAACCUGCAUUUUUCAUCCUAAAAAUAUGUUGUAAAUCUAUUUCCAUAGCAUUAAAUGUUUUUCUACAUCAUUUUAAUGACUUCAUACUGUGAUAUUUUAUAAUGUACUAUCAUCUAAUUAACAAGUUCCUUGUUAGGUACUGUUUUGUUGUUGUUGUUGUUGUUGUUUUUCCCAUUGUUGAAAUGAACAUCUUUGCUAAAUUAAAUCUUGUUUUACAUUCUUGAGUAA